AUGCGCUAUUUGAAAGGCGCCGCGAGCUAUGGGAUUCACUACACCGGGUAUCCAAGGGUAUUGGAGGGUUAUAGUGACUCAAACUGGAUAUCUGAUGCUGAUGAGAUUAAGGCCACAAGUGGUUAUGUUUUUACACUUGGUGGUGGCGCUGUUUCCUGGAAGUCUUGCAAUCAGACCAUCUUAACGAGGUCAACUAUGGAAGCAGAACUCACAGCAUUAGACACUGCCACUGUUGAAGCAGAGUGGCUUCGUGAACUCUUGAUGGACUUACCUAUGGUUGAAAAACCAAUACCCCCUAUCCUGAUGAACUGUGAUAAUCAAAUUGUGAUUGUCAAGAUAAACAGUUCUAAGGACAAUAUGAAGUCCUCAAGGCAUGUGAAGAGGAGACUAAAAUCUGUCAGAAAAUUGAGGAACUCCGGAGUUAUUACGUUGGAUUAUAUCCAAACGUCGAAAAACUUGGUAGAUCCCUUCACAAAGGGUCUAUCACGUAAUGUGAUAGAUAAUGCAUCGAUGGAGAUGGGUUUGAGACCCACCGCAUGA
rnacentral:rRNA from 1 species